GCUUACCAUGCAGUCGAACGUGAUCCCGAUUUCGGUUGGGUGAAAGUGGCGAACGGGUGCGUAACACGUAGGUGACCUGCCCCGAGGUGGGGGAUAACUGUGGGAAACCAUGGCUAAUACCCCAGAUGUCUAAAUUAUUAGAAGGUUUAGACUAAAAUUCCGGUGCCUUGGGAGGGGCCUGCGGGCUAUCAGCUAGUUGGUGAGGUAAUGGCUUACCAAGGCUAAGACGGUUAGGGGGCGUGAGAGCGUGACCCCCCACAAUGGAACUGAGACACGGUCCAUACUCCUACGGGAGGCAGCAGUGAGGAAUAUUGCACAAUGGGGGAAACCCUGAUGCAGCAACGCCGCGUGGAUGAUGAAGGCCUUCGGGUUGUAAAAUCCUUUUCUGGGGAACGAUAAUGACGGUACCCCAGGAAUAAGUCCCGGCUAACUACGUGCCAGCAGCCGCGGUAAAACGUAGGGGGCGAGCGUUAUCCGGAUUUACUGGGCGUAAAGCGCACGUAGGCGGCAUCGUAAGUUGGGCGUUAAAGCUCCUGGCUUAACUGGGAGAGGUCGUUCAAUACUGCGGUGCUUGAGGUUGAAAGAGGAGAGCGGAAUUCCCGGUGUAGUGGUGGAAUGCGUAGAUAUCGGGAGGAACACCAGUGGCGAAAGCGGCUCUCUGGUUCACACCUGACGCUGAGGUGCGAAAGCGUGGGGAGCGAACGGGAUUAGAUACCCCGGUAGUCCACGCUGUAAACGAUGGAUACUAGUGUAGGGGGUCAUUUACCCCUUCUGUGCCGAAGCUAACGCGUUAAGUAUCC
rnacentral:rRNA from 1 species